UGUUGUUAUGGCGUCUUGGCACUUGGAUACAUUGCUAGAGCAAAACCCGGGAAUCAUAAGGGAAGGAGUGUCUGAAUAUGGAUCAAUCAGUCUUUGUUGAAAUUUACUACAUCACACUUUUUAAUGGGGUUGACUGUUGAGUAUGGCAAGCGUCUCAUGGGUAUGUUCUCUUCAUCUUGGGGAUGUGUCAAUCCUGGUUGUUGAUUUGCUUUUGACUGCUUUAUUGGUUUCUAUUGUCGCUUGGAUGUUUUAUUUCUAUCCUCUUAUACUUCAUACUUUUGGUUUAUCAGAACGUUGUGGGUCAAGGUAGAUGUUAGAACCUUGUGGGUUGUUUUUGCUUUGGCUCUUGUACGUGUUUUUGUUUUGUAAAAAAGACUUGUUUGUUGCUCUGUUGAAUCUUUGCUCAUUAUUCUUGAUAGUUUAAGCGUUUUGUUUCUAUAUAAAAGAACAGAAAAAUAGCUAAAAUAAAGCCUUUACUCUCCUUAAAUAUAUAGAAAAUGCCAAUUCUUGGAAUAGUGUGAAUUAUUGAUGAAGUUAAAAAAAAGAACACACUAUUGGAUUAUAUAGUAAGAUCGAAAUGCUUCCAAUCCUCGGUAACUGUCCAAAUUGAAACCCUCAACAAUUAGUUGAAUAUCUAACAAAAACCACAACAAAUUUUUUUUUUUUCCUGAGGUGUCAAAAUUUCAUAUCAACAAUCACUAACUUUCAUGUGAUGGUCGAAUCAUAACUACCACCUUCAAGAUUUCAACAACUUUUGUUUCAUCUCAUCUGGAUUUACUUCCUAACAGAACACUAUUCUACUGUCAAACUCACUCUUUCACAUCUAAAUAAAUCAAAAAAAUGUUACUACUAUAGCUAGUAUCUAGCUAGUCUUGAUUGAAUGGUGUCACAUUAAUUCAAUUAUAGCCAGUGAUCAUUGGUUCAAUAUAUUGAUUUUAUUGAACAUCAGUCUUAACCCAAUAGUCCAAAUGGGAGAAACACAAGCAAGCAAACAAACAAAUGGAGCAAUAAAAUGGGAGUUUUAUUUUUUUCUUGUUGGGUUUUGGGAUAACAAGAGAAGAAUUAAGUCGUUAGUUUCAAAGACAAAGGUGCUUUUCAUCGAUGAAUUUGAUGAAAAUGAGGUCUUAUAUAAAUGAAAUUUAACAUGAUAAGCAUGAGAGGAUUCCAAGAAAUCAAAAUGUGUAUUAGAGUGGAUUGCAAGAAAUGUGGGAAAUAUUCAUGGGCAGGUUGUGGAAAGCAUUUGACCUCACUUUAUGCAAAUAUUGAAAAAGGGAAGCAUUGUAUGUGCAAAUCUUGGCCUGGUGUGGCUAUCCCACCACCAGAUGAUCAAGAUCCACCAUCAUCAUCUUCAACCACAAAAGUGUAUAAAUUAAUGUAACGAGCCUCUUCAUCA